UAAACAAAUCAUCAAGUUGU
rnacentral:misc_RNA from 1 species